AUUGAACGCUGGCGGCAGGCCUAACACAUGCAAGUCGAACGGUAACAGGAAGCAGCUUGCUGCUUUGCUGACGAGUGGCGGACGGGUGAGUAAUGUCUGGGAAACUGCCUGAUGGAGGGGGAUAACUACUGGAAACGGUAGCUAAUACCGCAUAACGUCGCAAGACCAAAGAGGGGGACCUUCUGGCCUCUUGCCAUCGGAUGUGCCCAGAUGGGAUUAGCUAGUAGGUGGGGUAACGGCUCACCUAGGCGACGAUCCCUAGCUGGUCUGAGAGGAUGACCAGCCACACUGGAACUGAGACACGGUCCAGACUCCUACGGGAGGCAGCAGUGGGGAAUAUUGCACAAUGGGCGCAAGCCUGAUGCAGCCAUGCCGCGUGUAUGAAGAAGGCCUUCGGGUUGUAAAGUACUUUCGGCGGGGAGGAAGGGAAUAAAGUUAAUACCUUUGCUCAUUGACGUUACCCGCAGAAGAAGCACCGGCUAACUCCGUG
rnacentral:rRNA from 1 species